UACGUAGGUGCCAAGCGUUGUCCGGAUUUACUGGGCGUAAAGAGCGCGCAGGCGGUCGAUCAAGUCGGUUGUGAAAGCCCCCGGCUCAACUGGGGAGGGUCAUUCGAUACUGAUCGACUCGAAGGCAGGAGAGGGUAGUGGAAUUCCCGGUGUAGUGGUGAAAUGCGUAGAUAUCGGGAGGAACACCAGUGGCGAAGGCGGCUACCUGGCCCACUCUUGACGCUGAGGCGCGAAAGCUAGGGGAGCAAACGGG
rnacentral:rRNA from 1 species